rnacentral:rRNA from 1 species
UACGGAAUGUGCAAACGUUAUUCGGAAUCACUGGGCUUAAAGAGUCCGUAGGCGGCAUGUUAGGUGAGGUGUGAAAUCCCCCGGCUCAACCGAGGAAUUGCGCUUCAAACCGGCGUGCUUGAGGAAGAUAGAGGUGGGCGGAACUGAUGGUGGAGCGGUGAAAUGCGUUGAUAUCAUCAGGAACACCGGAGGCGAAAGCGGCCCACUGGGUCUUUUCUGACGCUGAGGGACGAAAGCUAGGGUAGCAAACGGG